rnacentral:snRNA from 1 species
AUACUUACUUGGAAGGGGAGAUAAUAUGAUCAUGAAGGUGGUUUUCCCAGGGCAAGGCUUAUCCAUUGCACCCUGGAUGUGCUGACCCCUGAGAUUUCCCCAAAUGCGGGAAACUCGACUGCCAAAUUUGUAGUAGCGGGGAACUGCAUUUGCAAUGUUCUCU